GAUGAACGCUGGCGGCGUGCCUAAUACAUGCAAGUCGAGCGAACGGACGAGAAGCUUGCUUCUCUGAUGUUAGCGGCGGACGGGCGAGUAACACGUGGAUAACCUACCUAUAAGACUGGGAUAACUUCGGGAAACCGGAGCUAAUACCGGAUAAUAUUUUGAACCGCAUGGUUCAAAAGUUAAAGACGGUCUUGCUGUCACUUAUAUAUGGAUCCGCGCUGCAUUAGCUAGUUGGUAAGGUAACGGCUUACCAAGGCAACGAUGCAUAGCCGACCUGAGAGAGUGAUCGGCCACACUGGAACUGAGACACGGUCCAGACUCCUACGGGAGGCAGCAGUAGGGAAUCUUCCGCAAUGGGCGAAAGCCUGACGGAGCAACGCCGCGUGAGUGAUGAAGGUCUUCGGAUCGUAAAACUCUGUUAUUAGGGAAGAACAUAUGUGUAAGUAACUGUGCACAUCUUGACGGUACCUAAUCAGAAAGCCACGGCUAACUACGUG
rnacentral:rRNA from 1 species